CGGAUUUUGGGGAGGGAAGCUGGAGGGAGGAUAACCACUUUGUGAGAAAUUUGGUUGUGGUGGUGGAUGGCCCCUUGUGCCUUCACCAUCAUACAUCACAUAUGCAUUUCCUGGAGAGAGUGUUGGAUGAGCUCCACUAGCUGCAUACCCAUCGCCCACUGCACCAAAUGAAGGCUUAAGAUGUGGCGGCGCAGGCUGUUGCUGAAGGGGCCUACUAGACCUAUCAUACCCAUAAGGCAUUGCUUCGGGACGGCUAGCAACUGGUUGAGAUAUUCCAGAAAAUGGCACUUGCAUUGGCAUACUAUUGGGCGCCGUCUCAGGAGUAGGAUUAGGCUGACUGGGCGGAUAAGAGGGAUAAACAGCAGGUGAUGUAGGUCUAGCUUGCUGUUGCAUACUUGGUAUUUGUGAAUGUUGAACCUGUUGUGGUACCUGUUGGG
rnacentral:lncRNA from 1 species